CGGCGAUAAAUAAAAUAAUACGAAAAAUCCAAAUUUUUUUGUUAUUGUAAUUUCGUCCUCUAAUUUUGGUGUUUUCUCAAUAUGGCCUCUUUAAGUUAAAAUUUGUGCAACUGUGUCCUCUCACCUUUUUUAACCUUGCAAAUGAGAGGUAUUAUCUUAUCAGGGGCUCCCCACUACUGUUCGGUGAUUCAUUGAGCUGUUAAUUUACUCGCUCUUUUUUACAAAAUAGAGUCCUGAAAUUUUAUGUAUUUACAAAAAUUAGUAUAAAUGAAGGAUAAAGCAUGGACAAGGAAGGAGAGAAGAGAGCAAAUAUAGUAAGAAAAAUGAUCGAGGUACAGCAAAAGAAUCUGCCCAAGUGCAGCUGUGGUGGAGGUAGAUAGAAGAGACGAAACAAGGGAAAGUGAAAGCUGCUGCAAAUGAAACUAAUGGCUGUGAUUCAUGCUGGAAUAAUCAAGCGGUAGAAGAGGUAAGAGUGUCGGAAAGUUGUAAGGAAACAAGCAAUUGCAGCUUUUCGAAGAAUGAGUUUUCAUUUGAAAUCAAACUGUUAGAGACAGAAUUUUGCUUGAAUGAAAUAGUGUGCACUAGGAAAUUGGGAAGAGCUAAGGCGUUGUCGAAGUUGGAUUCGGGGACUUCUAAGUAAUGAAUAUUGCUGUUUGUUUUCUUGAAAUUAAAACCUGCAAUUAUAGGUAAGGAGGAAUUUAAUAAUUGAAGUUGGAUGAUGAGUUUUAAGAAUAAUCCCAUCAAUAAUUUGUUCUCUUAAAUUUCGAAUGAGAGUAGUCAUUGACAAGAUGAUUGAUUUGUUUUCUAAGCAAAAUUAGAAUUGAUUUUAAACCACCUUUGAGGAGAAGUCUAAUGCGUCUCACAAUUAGUUCCUGCAACUAGUCUAAUUGAUGUUCUCCUUAUGUUGGAAAGACUACAUUCAUCUCAUUUUAUUACAUGAGCUCAAAAUCCUAUGAACUGAAUUGAUAAGAUUAAGAAUUUGAGCUUCAAAAAUUAUUUUGCAUCUUUCCUUUUAAAUGUGCCAAAUUAAUUUAUUUGGACAUCUUCUUAGAGGCACCGGGACUGGAAAAAUAAUCAUAACAGUUUCUUUAUCAAUCCAGGUUUUCAAAGAUAACUUAGCAAAUUUACUAUUCGAUCAUUAGCUAAAAUAUAUAUAUAUAUGAUUAACUAAUUGGCGAAUUUGAGAAAGAGUAGAUGUUAUAUCCAAUUGAAAAAGAAUGUUAUUCAGAUACAUUUCAAGUAAUUGUAGUAAAAUCUGAUCUAUUGACCUUAAGAUGUUUGUGUCAAUACAAGCAUGUUCAAGUAAUUGUUACUCUGUAAAAUCAUAAUGAAAAUGCAAUUUUAUUUUUCUUCUAAACAAGUACGAUAUUGAAAUUUUCUCUAAACAUGAUUGAUUUAAGAUCACUCCGGAUCUAGGCCUUUUUACUAAUUAGUCUCGGCAAAGCUCCUAGAGGGAGUCGGUUGAUGAGGGUGAAAUUCAAUUUAUAGGUUUAUUGGAGAAGGUAAUUAAGGAAAAGAGAACACAUAUAUUAGAGCUGACAACUCGCGUUUGCUAGUCAUGAACAAGCCAUAUCAGCUUUACAAGAUUCUACCAUUAUUUGAAAAAAAAAAUUACAAUUAACAGAUAAUUACUACAAACAGGACACUCACCCUCAUUCAUCAUCGAUCAUCAUUCCCAUUUUCUCAAAAGAAAAAACAAUAAAGGGCCAUCGUACCCUUCGCUCCUCCAACAGAAAAGAUAAACUAGAAGCCUGAAUAAAUCAAACAUUAUAAAUUGACUACAUAUUCUCUGAAUAAUUCAAUCCAUUCAAAUCAAAUAUUAUGAAUUGGUUAUAUAUUUUCUGGUUAACUCAAUGGAUUCAAGGCUCAAGCCCUCUGAUGACCCAAAAUCGAUUUGUCCAAUGAUCCUACAAUAUGUAAAUGAUUUGAAGUCUAUAUAGUCUUGAUCUAGAUUACAUACCCUAUACAUUGCUAAUAUAUGGUUUCUUAGUCGUAGGGAUUUCUGAAGUUCUUCAAGAGCUCUGGAAUGUCAUAACCAAGCAUGUCAUCUACAGCUUGUAUCAUUUUAGGCUUCAACUUUUCAAACUUGUCGAUGCUGUAACCGGUCAAAACCUCUCUGAAGUGCUCAACAUUUGGGAAAUCACC
rnacentral:lncRNA from 1 species